GUGUCAGCCGCCGCGGUAAUACGAAGGUGGCUAACGUUGUUCGGAAUCAUUGGGCUUAAAGCGGGCGCAGGCGGAACAAUAAGUGUCUUGUGAAAUCCCCCGGCUUAACCGGGGAAUCGCUGGGCAAACUGUUGUUCUUGAGGCAAGCAGGGGUACAUGGAACUCUUGGUGGAGCGGUAGAAUGCGUAGAUAUCAAGAAGAACGCCAGUGGAGAAGUCGGUGUACUGGGCUUGUUCUGACGCUGAGGCCCGAAAGCGUGGGUAGCAAACAGGAUUAGAUACCCUGGUAGUCC
rnacentral:rRNA from 1 species